GUUAUAUGGUCAAGUGAAGAAGCGCAUACGGUGGAUGCCUUGGCAGUCAGAGGCGAUGAAAGACGUGGUAGCCUGCGAAAAGCUUCGGGGAGUCGGCAAACAGACUGUGAUCCGGAGGUAUCUGAAUGGGGGAACCCAGCCAUCAUAAGAUGGUUAUCUUGUACUGAAUACAUAGGUGCAAGAGGCGAACCAGGGGAACUGAAACAUCUAAGUACCCUGAGGAAAAGAAAUCAACCGAGAUUCCCUUAGUAGUGGCGAGCGAACGGGGACCAGCCCUUAAGUUGUAUUGAGAUUAGCGGAACACUCUGGAAAGGGUGGCCAUAGUGGGUGAUAGCCCUGUACGCGAAAAUCCCUUUGCAAUGAAAUCGAGUAGGACGGGGCACGAGAAACCUUGUCUGAAUAUGGGGGGACCAUCCUCCAAGGCUAAAUACUACUGACUGACCGAUAGUGAACCAGUACCGUGAGGGAAAGGCGAAAAGAACCGCGGAGAGCGGAGUGAAAUAGAUCCUGAAACCGUAUGCGUACAAGCAGUGGGAGCCCACUUUGUUGGGUGACUGCGUACCUUUUGUAUAAUGGGUCAGCGACUUAUUUUCAGUGGCGAGCUUAACCGAAUAGGGGAGGCGUAGCGAAAGCGAGUCUUAAUAGGGCGUCUAGUCGCUGGGAAUAGACCCGAAACCGGGCGAUCUAUCCAUGGGCAGGUUGAAGGUUGGGUAACACUAACUGGAGGACCGAACCGACUACCGUUGAAAAGUUAGCGGAUGACCUGUGGAUCGGAGUGAAAGGCUAAUCAAGCUCGGAGAUAGCUGGUUCUCCUCGAAAGCUAUUUAGGUAGCGCCUCAUGUAUCACUGUAGGGGGUAGAGCACUGUUUCGGCUAGGGGGUCAUCCCGACUUACCAAACCGAUGCAAACUCCGAAUACCUACAAGUGCCGAGCAUGGGAGACACACGGCGGGUGCUAACGUCCGUCGUGAAAAGGGAAACAACCCAGACCGUCAGCUAAGGUCCCAAAGUCAUGGUUAAGUGGGAAACGAUGUGGGAAGGCUUAGACAGCUAGGAGGUUGGCUUAGAAGCAGCCACCCUUUAAAGAAAGCGUAAUAGCUCACUAGUCGAGUCGGCCUGCGCGGAAGAUGUAACGGGGCUCAAACCAUGCACCGAAGCUACGGGUAUCAUCUUUUGAUGAUGCGGUAGAGGAGCGUUCUGUAAGCCUGUGAAGGUGAGUUGAGAAGCUUGCUGGAGGUAUCAGAAGUGCGAAUGCUGACAUGAGUAACGACAAUGGGUGUGAAAAACACCCACGCCGAAAGACCAAGGUUUCCUGCGCAACGUUAAUCGACGCAGGGUUAGUCGGUCCCUAAGGCGAGGCUGAAAAGCGUAGUCGAUGGAAAACAGGUUAAUAUUCCUGUACUUCUGGUUAUUGCGAUGGAGGGACGGAGAAGGCUAGGCCAGCCUGGCGUUGGUUGUCCAGGUUUAAGGUGGUAGGCUGAGAUCUUAGGUAAAUCCGGGAUCUUAAGGCCGAGAGCUGAUGACGAGUGUUCUUUUAGAACACGAAGUGGUUGAUGCCAUGCUUCCAAGAAAAGCUUCUAAGCUUCAGGUAACCAGGAACCGUACCCCAAACCGACACAGGUGGUUGGGUAGAGAAUACCAAGGCGCUUGAGAGAACUCGGGUGAAGGAACUAGGCAAAAUGGCACCGUAACUUCGGGAGAAGGUGCGCCGGUGAGGGUGAAGCAUUUACUGCGUAAGCUCAUGCCGGUCGAAGAUACCAGGCCGCUGCGACUGUUUAUUAAAAACACAGCACUCUGCAAACACGAAAGUGGACGUAUAGGGUGUGACGCCUGCCCGGUGCCGGAAGGUUAAUUGAUGGGGUUAGCGCAAGCGAAGCUCUUGAUCGAAGCCCCGGUAAACGGCGGCCGUAACUAUAACGGUCCUAAGGUAGCGAAAUUCCUUGUCGGGUAAGUUCCGACCUGCACGAAUGGCGUAACGAUGGCGGCGCUGUCUCCACCCGAGACUCAGUGAAAUUGAAAUCGCUGUGAAGAUGCAGUGUAUCCGCGGCUAGACGGAAAGACCCCGUGAACCUUUACUAUAGCUUUGCACUGGACUUUGAAUUUGCUUGUGUAGGAUAGGUGGGAGGCUUUGAAGCGUGGACGCCAGUCUGCGUGGAGCCAACCUUGAAAUACCACCCUGGCAACUUUGAGGUUCUAACUCAGGUCCGUUAUCCGGAUCGAGGACAGUGUAUGGUGGGUAGUUUGACUGGGGCGGUCUCCUCCUAAAGAGUAACGGAGGAGUACGAAGGUGCGCUCAGACCGGUCGGAAAUCGGUCGUAGAGUAUAAAGGCAAAAGCGCGCUUGACUGCGAGACAGACACGUCGAGCAGGUACGAAAGUAGGUCUUAGUGAUCCGGUGGUUCUGUAUGGAAGGGCCAUCGCUCAACGGAUAAAAGGUACUCCGGGGAUAACAGGCUGAUACCGCCCAAGAGUUCAUAUCGACGGCGGUGUUUGGCACCUCGAUGUCGGCUCAUCACAUCCUGGGGCUGAAGCCGGUCCCAAGGGUAUGGCUGUUCGCCAUUUAAAGUGGUACGCGAGCUGGGUUUAGAACGUCGUGAGACAGUUCGGUCCCUAUCUGCCGUGGACGUUUGAGAUUUGAGAGGGGCUGCUCCUAGUACGAGAGGACCGGAGUGGACGAACCUCUGGUGUUCCGGUUGUCACGCCAGUGGCAUUGCCGGGUAGCUAUGUUCGGAAAAGAUAACCGCUGAAAGCAUCUAAGCGGGAAACUUGCCUCAAGAUGAGAUCUCACUGGAACCUUGAGUUCCCUAAAGGGCCGUCGAAGACUACGACGUUGAUAGGUUGGGUGUGUAAGCGCUGUGAGGCGUUGAGCUAACCAAUACUAAUUGCCCGUGAGGCUUGACCAUAUAACACCCAAGCAAUU
rnacentral:rRNA from 3 species